rnacentral:misc_RNA from 1 species
GAUGAAGAACGCAGCGAAAUGCGAAAAGUAAUGUGAAUUGCAGAAUUCAGUGAAUCAUCGAAUCUUUGAACGCACAUUGCGCCCGCCAGUAUUCUGGCGGGCAUGCCUGUCUGAGCGUCAUUUCAACCCUCACGCCCCUAGGGCGUGGUGUUGGGGAUCGGCCAAGGCCCGCAAGGGACGGCCGGCCCCUAAAUCUAGUGGCGGACCCAUCGUGGCCUCCCCUGCGAAGUAGUAAUAUAUUCCGCAUCGGAUAGCGAUGAGCCCCUGCCGUAAAACCCCCAACUCUUUCAAGGUUGACCUCAGAUCAGGUAGGAAUACCCGCUGAACUUAAGCAUAUCAAUAAGCGGAGG